GAUGAACGCUGGCGGUGGGCCUAACACAUGCAAGUCGAACGGCAACGCAGUACUAUCGUGGUCUUCCGGGUGGGGAGUGGCGGGCGGAUGAGGAGUACAUCGUACUCUACUUUUUGGGGUAGGAUAACGUAGGGAGACUUACGCUCGUACCGCAUACGCCCUACGGGUGAGGGCAGGGGAUCUUCGGAGCUUGCGCGAAUGAAUGAGCCGAUGUCGGGUUAGCUAGUUGGCGGGGUGAAGACCCACCAAGGCGACGAUUCGUAGCUGGUCUGAGAGGCUGGUCAGCGACCCUGGAACUGAGACAGCGUCCAGAGUCCUACGGGAGGGAGCAGUCGGGAAUAUUGGACAACGGGGGCAAGUCUUAUCCAGCAAGACCGCGUGGGUGACGAAGGCCUUCCGGUCGUAAAGACCGUCUGUUGGGAAAGAAAAGCAGUAGGCUAAUACCCCGCGGUUCUGACGGUACCGAAAGAAGAAGCACCGGCUAACUACGUG
rnacentral:rRNA from 1 species